ensembl:lncRNA
UGACCUUCUAUUUACGAUCCGUUUGCAUCGAACUUCUUUUAAGCGUUUAAACGGUCGGAAAAAAUCCACAAGUACCGUGACGGAAAAGCAUGCGGUUUAUGCUCAUCAAUUUAUAUGACGUAUAAACGCGAGGACGAUAUCGGCCCUGCCUGUCGUUGACGAAUGCCAGUGGGGACGUUUUACAACGCGAGGACGGAAAUCGCGUCGUCUGUGUCCCAGUGUUCAGCGAGCCAUGGAACUGGUGUACGAGAUCAACCGAUUCACCACCUAGGGAGCCAGGGAGCUGAUUGAGACGUAUCCAUUGGCAGACCUGUUCAAAAUGACUCGCCUCUCGGGCCCAGCAUGUUGACGAGCUAAGUUUUAAAAUCCUACACUCCUAUAAAACUCGCACCCGAACCACACGCCGUAACAACGGCCAUGCCGUUGCCGUUCUGUAUGUGAUCCACCUCCCACGUAAUAUCUGCUCCAUGGUGGUCCAUUCCAUUGAUGGAUGACGAGCUGGAGCGGGACUGACGCGUCGCGCAAAGGAACACACGCCGCAGUCUGUAAUUUGUACGCCUACAGAGCGACCUGAUGAAAUGUCUGUAACAGUUCUGACGUAUCUCGAUCCGAAAAGCAGCUGCAGUACGGCGUGUGGAAACGGGCGAACGCAUCCGCUAGGUCCGGGUGCACUUUUAUGUUUUCCAGCGGUUUUGAUGUUUCACUCCAGCGACUCGGUUUAUACGCGCGUCUCCGCCCGCUUUUUGUCGUUUCCUAACGAACCCGGUCCGUCAAAUACCAGCUCGCUUUCUUUUUAAUGAACACAAGGUAUAGCGCAGUUGAUUUCUCAUGCGACCAGACGCUCACGAGCCAGGAAGCCUCUUGACUGAAUGCUAAUGUUUACCUGGUGAGAAAAGCCAAUUAUCUUGAAGCAGGAUUCGAGGGGGGAGGGGGGGGGAGAGAAAGAAUUUCGCUUCCGGCAGCGAUGGAUGUCGAGUUCAUCUAGGUGGACGUUAACACAAACACGAGCCGAUGGAAACCAGCAGGACCGGCGUUGCUCCCUUCUUCCUGGAAAUAAAGCAGGAGGGAUGCUGUGCGUUAAGCGGCUCUUUUUGAAAAACGCGUAUUUCCGACAUCCUGGAUAUUUCCGAGUAACGCCGGGACAAAUUAUCGAGCACAACGUAAGCAACUCUCUAUCGCACCCAAGUCGAUCAGAGCGUUUAUUUCCUCCGUCCUACACUCUCUACUACACACGAAUCAUGAGGCUUUCUUUCUUUCUUUUUUCCUUUUUUCUUUUUCCGCACACUCCGGCUCGCGCGUGCACGUGACCCCGCCUCUUAGGACACAGGUUCACAUCGUGUCGGAGUACGUCGGCGGACGCCUACGCCACCGUCUACAGACGCUCGUAGAUACGAUCGUAGGUUCCUCACAGGGACUUGAAAACUUUACAGAUGUAAAAGGCUAUGGGAAACGGUGUGCACUUCUAUAGUAUAUUCCAAAGCGCUUUACAUUCUCAUUCACACACAAACGGUAGCAGAGCUGCCACGUAAGGCGCUAACUUGCCAUCGGGAGCAACUCGGGGUUCAGCGUCUCGCCCGAGGACACUUCGGGAUGUGGAGUCACGUGGGCCGGGAGGAAUCAAACCGCCGACCCUACGAUCAGCGGACGACCCGCUCUACCACCCGAUCCACAGCCGCGCUGUACACGUUGCCCGUUUGUUUUUGCAACAGACGUGUGGACCUGGACAUGUGCCAAAAUGAAUUCGAAUAGAAGGUCGACUCAUGACUUGACUUGUUAAUCUUGAGCGUCUUGGCAAAAUUCGGUUUCCGUCACUUCAAGAAAAUCCAAUCUCCCUUCCACGUUCCCACAAAAACCCCUCCCCUCGCUUCUCCUUCAGGCCCAAACAUAAUCAUGUCUCCAUGAGCAGUUCGAGCCCGAGGCAGAAAACGUAUGUCGCAUCUCUUCAGUCUCAGUGAAGAAGUGCUCUGUGCUUUAGGUAUGUGUGAGAGAGAGAGAGAGAGAGAGAGAGAGGGACAGUUUUCUCACUAGUCUUUGUGAAAAUCACACAGUUGUGCCACAUACUUUAUCCGCUCUCAAAGGCCAGGUUUAACCGCACCAUAUAGGUGGCGUAAUUACUACACAGCUGUGAUGUUUAGUCAUAAUGUGCUUUAUAGGCUGUCCGCAGUGGCCAGCACUGUGUAGCCCUUAAUGUGCUUUUCAAUACACUACAGCAUUCUCCAAUACAGCAUUCUCCAGUCUCCGAUCGGCAGUCGAUGGUCACGCGUGCGCUACUCAACGACGCAUCAAAGAGGCUCGCCGAGGCAUCGCCGAAAGCAGGCAGAUAUAUUCGGCGCGUUAAAUAUCCGGAGCUGUCGGGCGACUCCACAUCCUGUGGCGUGAAAAGUGUCGUCUCGGGCAGCGAUCUACAGCCAGCGAGAGAGCAAGGCGUGGGGUGAGGUCGCCGUGAGGAAGGGAAAACCCGCAAAACCUUUCUUUUUUUUUUUUUCUUUUGUCUUUUCCUUUUUGGAGUUUUUUCAGCACAAAUCAUCACAAAUCAGUAAAAUGACACACGCUGAAGUCAUCGCUUGGCACUAAAGCCAUGUUUUCUUACAUAAAGGGCCAGUGAGUGUGACCGCGUGUGUCGGAGGGGAGUGUGUGAAUCUGCAGGGAAGGUCAGAGCGCUGGGGUUAAAAGCUGAAACGGAAACGGCCAAUCGUAGGAGCACACAUAUGAAUAGGAACAAUUAGGAAGAACAAUAGUGGCACCACACACACACACACACACACACA